UGGCGGCGUAGCUCAGCUGGCUAGAGCGUUCGGUUCAUACCCGAGAGGUCGUGGGUUCGAUUCCCUCCGCCGCUAUC
rnacentral:tRNA from 2 species